GACGAACGCUGGCGGCGUGCUUAACACAUGCAAGUCGAACGGAAAGGCCCCUUUGGGGGUACUCGAGUGGCGAACGGGUGAGUAACACGUGAGUAACCUGCCCUUGACUUCGGGAUAACUUCAGGAAACUGGGGCUAAUACCGGAUAGGAAUCCUUGCUGCAUGGUGGGGGUUGGAAAGCUUCGGGGGUUUUGGAUGGACUCGCGGCUUAUCAGCUUGUUGGUGGGGUAGUGGCUUACCAAGGCUUUGACGGGUAGCCGGCCUGAGAGGGCGACCGGCCACAUUGGGACUGAGAUACGGCCCAGACUCCUACGGGAGGCAGAAGUGGGGAAUAUUGCACAAUGGGCGGAAGCCUGAUGCAGCAACGCCGCGUGCGGGAUGACGGCCUUCGGGUUGUAAACCGCUUUCAGCAGGGGAGAAGCUUGUGGUGACGGUACCUGCAGAAGAAGCACCGGCUAACUACGUG
rnacentral:rRNA from 1 species